UUUUUUUUUUUUUUUUUUUUUUUUUGAGGUAGGUCUAUUACUACCUUAGCAAUGGAUUGGAGUGUUUGGCAGUAGGUCUGCUAAAGCAAAUACAAGUAAUGAUUUUCUCUUUUUUAGAGCUUUAGGGCAAGAGCUCUCUUUAGAGGAAGAUAACAAAAAUUCAGGGGCAUAAAAUAUCCUCUUAAUGCUACAUAAGAUUUCAUCUCUUUGAGCUACUUAGAAAAUAUUAAACAUAGAUCCAAACUGUGUAGGAGUUCAUUAUCACAUGAACUGUUUCAGUAUAACCUUGCCACUUAUCUGUCUCAGCCAGCAUUCUAAGCAAGAGGAAGAUAAGGCUCUUGUCCAUCAUGUUUUCAACAAUAAGUCCAGAAUCUAGUACUAUGUCUGGAAUAUUUAACACGCUGUUGCUGAAUGAAUCAAUAUUAUAGUGUAUUUGUGUGAAAAGGAAAUCUGGUUUAGCAUCUGCUUCAUUGUCCUAGUAUGAUGUAUGUAUCAUGAUCUGCAUAUGGAAAUGAGUAGCUAUUGUGCUUUGCUUCCUGAAUUUUAUGUUUAAACUGUAAAUUUUGUAUAUAAUAUUAAUAUUUUAUGUAUUUUAUAGGGAUCUGUGGAUAUAUUAAUUUUUGACAAACAGCAAUCUCAAUACACAUUUAGAUCAUAAAUUUUGGAAGAAUGUUUCCUUUAGUGCUGCCUGAAGACAUUUCAAUUGUUGGCAAUAGAAAACUUUUUCCCAAAGCACGUUUAGCCCAGAUUCCCUAUCUAAAAACACAAAAACAGAUAUGUAUUAACAGUAAUUCACAAAAAAAGUCAAUUAAAAUGUUUUAGAAAAAUAAGCAAAUAAAAUAUCCUCACAAUAAAAAAUAUGUAAAUCAGGUUUGAAAGCAAGAGACCAUGUGGCAGGUUGUAGUCUAUUUCAGCCAGGAGGGAAUUCAUAACUCUAAUGCUAUCCAGCACUUUCAAAUUUAAUUUCUAUAAGUUAUCUUUAUUUUAUCAAUAUAUAAAAUCUGGAUAAAAUCUACUUUUUAAGACUUAGAAGAAAUGUAAUUUAUUUCCUGCAGCUUUUCCUGCUUCCCCAUUUUUCAUAUCAUUUUUAUAUUGCCUACUUCUAAAUAUUUGUUCAUUCUCUGAUAAUCAUAUAUUUUUAAAAUUUAACCCACAAUAUAAUGAAUCAUUUUUCUUCUUCAACCCUCUUCCAUUCCCAUACAUACUAUAAACUUGCACAGGUUAUUAUCAGAGUCCUGCUUACUUUAUUUUUCUUUUUCUUAUCUCUCAUAAUCUCAGAACUUUUACAGAAGCCAAAGUUAAGUUGGUGGAAUUUAAUGAUUUCUGAAAAAAGAAACUGUGAAAAAAUUAAACAAUGCUAGUAUUAAUGCUAAUAAAAUAAAAAUAAUAAAAAUUUUACAUGACUAAUUAGGGUUGCAAUCAGUUAUUUAAAGUUAAAAAAUUAAAAUUAUUAUUUUAUGUGUUAGACAUAAUACUCAUAAUUAGAAAGAAAGCUUUCGCUACUUUUUUUUGUAGUGGUAUAAGUUUUACUUCAAAAUAGACUCUCUGAAAAUAAUAGGUAAACAAAAAAAAAACUUGAACAAGCUCUGUGAAUUUGCAAUAGAGCACAUUACUAAUCACACACCAGUUUCAUAUGUGCCAUAUCUUCUAUAUAUGGUGCACAGGUACCUCUGCUGUAUAACACCAGCAAUAUGACUUAAGUUCUAAACUGACUGGUCUCCAUUACUGAUUUUGGUGCUUUAAGUUAUUUUAUAUUGUGUGAAAAAAACAAGAUUUAGCUGUCCAAAGGACAGAAAUACACUUGAGUGCCUUAGCAAUACCCCAUCCCAUUAACCUGGACAACUGAGCCAUGGGAAAGCUCAUGUCCUCACAAUGAAUACACUUACCUCUAGGAAACUGUCAGAUAUUUAAUACAGCAAGCAGGAGAUAGCACUAAAUCAGUACAUUUUUCUGCAAGGAUUUUGGUACAGGCUCUGACCUGUACCAAUAUCCAAUUCUACUUUUUUUUUUUGUCAUUCUUUCCUAAUCUCCUUAUCUCUUGUAUUGUCUUUGCUUUAUUCUCCUUCCAUAGCCUAUCACUGAGAAACCUCAGGGAAAGUCAAAUUACUGACUCCAAUUUCAGAUUUCAUAAUAUUAAAAUAUGAAACCUACAUUUCAAUGUUUAAGUCACAUAUGACAUUGAUGCAAAAUUAACUAAUAAUCUGUGACCAAUCCAUGUUGAUGAUUUAUCAGACUAAAAAUUGGAAUCCAUUACAUUUUCUUAAUAGCAGGGAGAGACUGUAAUAUAUGAGUCAAUCAUGGGAUACUCAUUUCAAAAUAUUCACAAUAUUAUAUUUUAAGAAUAUUAAAAUCAUAAAAGUUAUUUAAUUCUGCUGUUUUGUUGAAGAAGAGCUACUGAAGCCAUCUUUGGGUUGUCAAAUUAUAGAUUUUUAAACUUUAAACAUUAUACAGAAUUUUAAUAUAAUUAUUUUACUUCAUAGAGUAGGAAACUGGAGUCCAGACAUGUUAAAUAUCUUACACAUUGCUUUGCAAGUAGAGUAUGAGCUGUGUCUAGAAUCCUAAGUCUGUUUGGCCUCCGACUAUUUUGAUUAUGGUGGAGUUGUUUUGAGAACAAUCUUUUUAUUGUAUUUUUCAAAAAGGCAAAUAUAUAUUAUAAAACAUGUUUUAAAAAACAGAAAAAAGUAUGUAUAAUUUCAAAAAUUAUACAUUCAGAUAUAAUCAUAGUCUAUGUUUAAUAUUUUCCCCAAGGUUUUUUGAAGUGAUAAGACAAACAUGUUCCUGUUACUUGAGAGAAACAAUUUUUUUGCAGUUUCCUCAGGAUGAGUCAUCAGAUACAAGAAACUUUCUAUAUUGACUUAUUUGAGUCUAAAGUUUUUAUCUUGCUCUCUUUUACCAUGAAUUUAUAUUGUCACAUCUGGCCCAUCUCAUGAUGGCAGUAAUGGAGAUUUGCAGAUGUGGAGUAUUUAAAAAUGGUUGGUAAAAAGCCAUUAAUUAAGCAAGGAAAAGAACACUACUUGGAUGCAUUAUUAUAAAUAAAUAAAAUUUAAAACAUUUUAUGUUAAGGAAGAUUAACGUUAAGUAAUUCUACAACAUAUGAUUUUGUUAAUUUUUUAAUUCUUUUAAAUGAUUUUGUUUAUGUCAGUAAAAGUAAUCUGUAUGCUUAGGUGAGAUUUUUAAAAAGUAUUUACAAGUCCCAAUUUUUUAGAUAUUAAACUUUAAGCACCUGCAAGCAAUAGCAAGGCUCAGAAAAAAGGCAACUCCAUAAAGGGCUGAUCAUAUUUAUAGUAAAUCUGGCAUAUGAUCAACAUUAUACCCCAUAAAUAUAGUACAUAAAUUAUUUGGAGGUGAUGACAUAAGUAUAAUAAAUCAUAACAUAAAUCAUCAUUUUCCAGUCUACAUUUGAGAUGUUGUUACUAUGGAGGAAAAUUCAUAUCAUCUCUUACCUCAUGAAUGAUACCUCAUGAAUAAGGGAAAAUGACUUAAAAUUCUUAGCCUUUUUUUUUUUUUUGGUUAGGUUUAUUCUUUUUUUUAAGAUAAUUAUUGAAAUAACAUUCACAUAUCAUAUAAUUCACCCAUUUAAAGUAUACCAUUCAGUGCUUUUUAGUAUAUAUUCAUAGUUGCUCUACCAUGAGCACAAUGGAUUUUAGAACAUUGCUGUCACCUCCUCGCCCCCAAAGAAACCCUAUUGAAACCCCUCUGUCUAUCAGUCUUCAAUCCUCCAUCCCCCAUCCUCAGGCAAUUACUAAUCUAUUCUUUGUUUCUACUGUCAACCUUUCCCAUAAAUAGGAUCAUACAGUGUCUUGAUAUAUUAGGACUGCUGUAACAAAAUACCACAGACUGGGUAGCUUAUAAACAAUAAAAAAAUUAUUUUUCACAGUUCUGGAGCCUGGAGAUCCAAGAUGAGGGUGUUCGCAAGACCAAAUGAGGGUCCUCUUUCUGGUGGCAGCCCUGGUACCCUCACAUGGUAGAAGGGUUAGGGAGUUUUCUCUGGUCUCUUUUACAAGAGCCCUAAUCCCAUUCAUGAGCAGUCUGCCAUGGUGACCUAAUCACCUCCCAAAGGUCCCACCUCCUAAUAAAAUUACAUUGGGCAUGAAGGUUUAAACAUAUGAAUAUGUGGAACACAAAAUGUGCAGACCAAGGACCACAUGGUCCUUUAUGAGUAGCUACUUUCACUUAGCAAAAUGUUUUCAAGGUCCAUCCAUGUUGUAGCAUGUAUCAAUACUUUAAUACUUCAUUUCUCUCUCUGUAUUUUUUUUUAGGGCCACACCCACGGCAUAUGGAGGUUCCCAGGCUAGGGGUUGAACUGGAGCUACAGCUGCCGGUCUACACCACAGCUACAGCAACACAGGAUCUGAGCCGUGUCUGUGACCUACACCACAGCUCAUGGCAUCAUAUCCCUCAUCCACUGAGUGAGGCCAGUGAUUGAACCGGCAACAUCAUGGUUCCUAAUCAGAUUCAUUUCCAAUGUGUUACAAUGAGAACUCCACAAUACUUCAUUUCUCUUAAUGGUUGAAAAAUAUUCAAUUGGGCAAAAGUUUUAUUUAUUUAUUCAUCAACUGAUGGACAUUUGAAUUGUUUCAUCUUAAGCGUUUCUAAAAUCAACAUUUUAAUUUACUUAUAUAAAGUUAAAUCUUCACCCUCACAUCAUGCACAAAAAUAAACUCCAAAUGGCUGAAAGACUUAAAUAUACGACAGGACACCAUCAAACUCCUAAAAGAGAACAGAGGCAAAACACUCUCUGACAUCAACCUCAUGAAUAUUUUCUCAGGUCAGUCUCCCAAAGCAAUAGAAAUUAGAGCAAAAAUAAACCCAUGGGACCUCAUCAAACUGAAAAGCUUUGGCACAGCCAAGGAAAUCCAAAAGAAAACAAAAAGACAACUUUCAGAAUGGGAGAAAAUAGUUUCAAAUGAUGCAACCAACAGGGGCUAAAUCUCUAGAAUAUAUAAGCAACUUAUACAACCCAACAGCAAAAAAGCCAAUCAACCAAUGCAAAAAUGGGCAAAAGACCUGAAUAGACUGUUCUCCAAGGAAGAUAUACAGACGGCCAACAAACACAUGAGAAAAUGCUCAACAUCGCUGAUUAUAAGAGAAAUGCAAAUCAAAACUACCAUGAGAUACCACCUCACACCAGUCAGAAUGGCCAUCAUUAAGAAGUCCACAAAUAACUAGUGCUGGAGAGGCUGUGGAGAAAAGGUAACCCUCCUGCACUGCUGGUGGGAAUGUAAACUGGUACAGCCACUAUGGAGAACAGUUUGGAGAUACCUUAGAAAUCUAUACAUAGAACUUCCAUAUGAUCCUGCAAUCCCACUCUUGGGCAUCUAUCGGGACAAAACUCUACUUAAAAGAGACACAUGCACCUGCAUGUUCAUUGCAGCACUAUUCACAAUAGCUAGGACAUGGAAACAACCCAAAUGUCCAUCAACAGAUGAUUGGAUUUGGAAGAAGUGGUACAUAUACGCAAUGGAAUACUACUCAGCCAUAAAAAAUGACAUAAUGUCAUUUGCAGCAACAUGGAUGGAACUAGA
rnacentral:lncRNA from 1 species